UAUACAUGCAAGUCGAACGAACUCUGGUAUUGAUUGGUGCUUGCAUCAUGAUUUACAUUUGAGUGAGUGGCGAACUGGUGAGUAACACGUGGGAAACCUGCCCAGAAGCGGGGGAUAACACCUGGAAACAGAUGCUAAUACCGCAUAACAACUUGGACCGCAUGGUCCGAGCUUGAAAGAUGGCUUCGGCUAUCACUUUUGGAUGGUCCCGCGGCGUAUUAGCUAGAUGGUGGGGUAACGGCUCACCAUGGCAAUGAUACGUAGCCGACCUGAGAGGGUAAUCGGCCACAUUGGGACUGAGACACGGCCCAAACUCCUACGGGAGGCAGCAGUAGGGAAUCUUCCACAAUGGACGAAAGUCUGAUGGAGCAACGCCGCGUGAGUGAAGAAGGGUUUCGGCUCGUAAAACUCUGUUGUUAAAGAAGAACAUAUCUGAGAGUAACUGUUCAGGUAUUGACGGUAUUUAACCAGAAAGCCACGGCUAACUACGUGCCAGCAGCCGCGGUAAUACGUAGGUGGCAAGCGUUGUCCGGAUUUAUUGGGCGUAAAGCGAGCGCAGGCGGUUUUUUAAGUCUGAUGUGAAAGCCUUCGGCUCAACCGAAGAAGUGCAUCGGAAACUGGGAAACUUGAGUGCAGAAGAGGACAGUGGAACUCCAUGUGUAGCGGUGAAAUGCGUAGAUAUAUGGAAGAACACCAGUGGCGAAGGCGGCUGUCUGGUCUGUAACUGACGCUGAGGCUCGAAAGUAUGGGUAGCAAACAGGAUUAGAUACCCUGGUAGUCCAUACCGUAAACGAUGAAUGCUAAGUGUUGGAGGGUUUCCGCCCUUCAGUGCUGCAGCUAACGCAUUAAGCAUUCCGCCUGGGGAGUACGGCCGCAAGGCUGAAACUCAAAGGAAUUGACGGGGGCCCGCACAAGCGGUGGAGCAUGUGGUUUAAUUCGAAGCUACGCGAAGAACCUUACCAGGUCUUGACAUACUAUGCAAAUCUAAGAGAUUAGACGUUCCCUUCGGGGACAUGGAUACAGGUGGUGCAUGGUUGUCGUCAGCUCGUGUCGUGAGAUGUUGGGUUAAGUCCCGCAACGAGCGCAACCCUUAUUAUCAGUUGCCAGCAUUAAGUUGGGCACUCUGGUGAGACUGCCGGUGACAAACCGGAGGAAGGUGGGGAUGACGUCAAAUCAUCAUGCCCCUUAUGACCUGGGCUACACACGUGCUACAAUGGAUGGUACAACGAGUUGCGAACUCGCGAGAGUAAGCUAAUCUCUUAAAGCCAUUCUCAGUUCGGAUUGUAGGCUGCAACUCGCCUACAUGAAGUCGGAAUCGCUAGUAAUCGCGGAUCAGCAUGCCGCGGUGAAUACGUUCCCGGGCCUUGUACACACCGCCCGUCACACCAUGAGAGUUUGUAACACCCAAAGUCGGUGGGGUAACCUUUUAGGAACCAGCCGCA
rnacentral:rRNA from 1 species